AAACAUGUCUUUUUGAAUUAUAUUAAAAGUCUAACCUGCCCACUGAAUAAUUUUAAAUGGCCGCAGUAUUUUGACUGUGCAAAGGUAGCAUAAUCAUUAGUCUUUUAAUUGAAGGCUGGUAUGAAUGGUUGGACGAGGUAUAAACUGUUUCAUAUAAAUUUAUUAUUGAAUUUUAUAUUUUAGUUAAAAAGCUAAAAUUUCAUUAAAAGACGAGAAGACCCUAUAAAUCUUUAUAUUUUAUUUUAACUAAAUUUUUUGGAUUAAUUUUAUUUUUUUAAAAUAAAAUAUUUUGUUGGGGUGAUAUUAAAAUUUAAUAAACUUUUAAUUAUUUAAAAUCAUUAAUUUAUGAAUUUUUGAUCCAUUAAUAUUGAUUAUAAGAUUAAGUUACUUUAGGGAUAACAGCGUAAUUUUUUUUGAGAGUUCAUAUCGACAAAAGAGUUUGCGACCUCGAUGUUGGAUUAAGGUAUAAUUUUGGGUGUAGCUGUUCAAAUAUUAAGUCUGUUCGACUUUUAAAUCCUUACAUGAUC
rnacentral:rRNA from 1 species